UGGGGAAUCUUCCGCAAUGGGCGCAAGCCUGACGGAGCAACGCCGCGUGAGUGAAGAAGGGUUUUCGACUCGUAAAGCUCUGUUGUCGGGGACGAACGUGGAGACUAUGAAUAAUGGUUUUCAAUGACGGUACCUGACGAGGAAGCCACGGCUAACUACGUGCCAGCAGCCGCGGUAAUACGUAGGUGGCGAGCGUUGUCCGGAAUUAUUGGGCGUAAAGGGCGCGCAGGCGGCGUCGUAAGUCGGUCUUAAAAGUGCGGGGCUUAACCCCGUGAGGGGACCGAAACUGCGAUGCUAGAGUAUCGGAGAGGAAAGCGGAAUUCCUAGU
rnacentral:rRNA from 1 species